AGGCCCAGCUACCCGUCGAGUCUCCUCCUCUCAGUCCUCUGCUCCGGCCGGCUCAAACCGUAUAUAUCUCUCCCCUGCAUCUCCGCGAAUCUGACCGAGGCUUGGUGGUCAGACAGAGACCCAUGGAGACCAAGGCCAAGGACGCAUGGGGCCUGCUGCUGGUGCUCUUCCUCGGCCAGCUCGUGGCCUUCACCAUGGCCGCCGCCAGCUUCGCCUCCUCCUUCCUCGCCAAUCUUGGAGUUAACACACCACUCACACAAUCCUUCUUCGCCUACCUCCUGUUGACUCUGAUUUAUGUGCCGAUCCUCUUGCAUCGACGACAGAAACCACGGAUACCUUGGUACUGGUACUUGGCGCUGGCCUUCGUCGAUGUCCAGGGGAACUAUCUGGUUGUCAAGGCGUACCAGUACUCGUCCAUCACCAGCGUAACGUUGUUGGACUGCUGGACCGUCGUAUGGGUCAUCAUACUCACCUGGUAUGUGCUAGGCACAAGAUAUUCUUUCUGGCAAUUUGUGGGGGCAGGGACCUGCGUGGCAGGGCUAGGUCUUGUGCUCCUUUCAGAUGCAAAAUCUCCAGAUGAGCAAGAUCCGGGUCAAAUGCCACUUCUAGGGGAUGCCCUUGUUAUUGCCGGGACAGUUUGUUUUGCAUUUAGCAAUGUUGCAGAGGAAUACUGCGUCAAGAAGAACGAUCGCGUAGAGCUUAUCGCGAUGCUUGGACUAUUUGGCCUGUUUGUCAGUGCAAUUCAGAUAUUCAUAUUCGAAAGGAAGAGCCUAGAAGCAGUUGCCUGGUCUCCAACAAUGAUAAGUUUGUUCGCAGGAUUUGCCAUUGCAUUACUAGUGUUCUACACCCUUACUCCUUUUGUCCUUAAGAUGAGUGGAUCAACAUUGUUUAAUCUCUCACUCUUAACAUCUGACAUGUGGGCAGUCACCAUUCGACUACUGUUCUAUCAACAACAGAUAAACUGGCUGUACUACGUAGCAUUCACGGUUGUGGCCAUUGGAUUAAUCGUCUACUCGCUGAAUGAGAGUUCUUUAGCCGAUGGAGGAGCUACAGGUACAGAAGUUGCACCUCACUAUCAACAACUUCCAAGCGAAGAUGGCUCAACAAGUGGUUCUAAUUUGGACAGCCAAGAAAAGAAGCAACUGGAAGGAGCUCAUGGUAUCUGUUAGGGUUUCAACGUACAAAGUCAGCUCCAUGGUUUCGGAUAUGACCAAAAUCAAAUACAGCAGCAGAAAAUGUGCAGAGAAUAAAAUUAUGUAUAUGCAGAAGCAGAACCAUUAUUUUUCAACCGAAAGAAUAUUUUGUGUUAGGAUGGUUAUCAGAAUAUUUUUUGUAACAUCUAGUCCAGUACAUACUUGGUAACAAAGGAAUGAAAAAAAAAUUCAUCAUCAGUUACAGUGGUUUGUGUAAGUACUACUUGUAGUAAGGUAAUACAGACAAAAUAUGGAGAGGGGAAAAACAGGUGAAAGUUCCAAGAUUAACUUACCUCCUUCAUGAAUCAUUAGUCUCCACAGAAAUUCAUCACUGGUGCCUAUUGGG
rnacentral:rRNA from 1 species